rnacentral:rRNA from 1 species
AUUGAACGCUGGCGGCAGGCCUAACACAUGCAAGUCGAACGAGUGGCGGACGGGUGAGUAAUGUCUGGGAAACUGCCCGAUGGAGGGGGAUAACUACUGGAAACGGUAGCUAAUACCGCAUACCAUCGGAUGUGCCCAGAUGGGAUUAGCUAGUAGGUGGGGUAACGGCUCACCUAGGCGACGAUCCCGAGCUGGUCUUAGAGGAUGACCAGCCACACUGGUACUGAGGCACGUUCCAGACGCCUACGGGAGGCAGCGGGGGGGAAUAUUGCACAAUGGGCGCAAGCCUGAUGCAGCUAUGCCGCGUGUAUGAAGAAGGCCUUCGGGUUGUAAAGUACUUUCAGCCAUGACGCGGUAGUGGCAGAAGAAGCACCGGCUAACUACGUGCCAGCAGCCGCGGUAAUAC